GAUGAACGCUGGCGGCGUGCCUAAUACAUGCAAGUCGAACGAAACUUCUUUAUCACCGAGUGCUUGCACUCACCGAUAAAGAGGUGAGUGGCGAACGGGUGAGUAACACGUAGGCAGCCUGCCCAAAAGAGGGGGAUAACACUUGGCAACAGGUGCUAAUACCGCAUAACCAUAGUUACCGCAUGGUAACUAUGUUAAAGGUGGCUAUACUACCGCUUUUGGAUGGGCCCGCGGCGCAUUAGCUAGUUGGUAGGGUAAAGGCUUACCAAGGCAAUGAUGCGUAGCCGAAUUGAGAGGUUGAUCGGCCACAUUGGGACUGAGACACGGCCCAAACUCCUACGGGAGGCAGCAGUAGGGAAUCUUCCACAAUGGGCGAAAGCCUGAUGGAGCAACGCCGCGUGGGUGAAGAAGGUCUUCGGAUCGUAAAACCCUGUUGUUAGAGAAGAAAGUGCGUGUGAGUAACUGUUCACGUUUCGACGGUAUCUAACCAGAAAGCCACGGCUAACUACGUG
rnacentral:rRNA from 1 species